GCUUUGUAACACAUGGCCAGUAAUUGAACUGUUGAGUGCUCCAAAACAGACAAACAGGAAUCGAACACCAUACGGAUUUGGGAUGAUGUUAAAAAGAAAGUCAUACAGGUUUGGAACAACAUGGGGAAGAAUGCAGUCAUCUCUAAUCUGGAAUUUCACAUGAAUUUGCAUAAUAUUCAGCAUACAUUCUCAUCAGCCUUUGGAAUUUAUGCAAACACAAAAGCAAGAAAAAGAAGACAACGCUUCUUUUGGUGCAUCCAUUAACAAAGUGUCUUCAUACAUUGCUACGCGGUGGAAUCAGGAGAUGAGACGGCUUUCAUUCUGGCAGACCAUAUGCAUCUAUGAAUAUGCAUGAACAUCUGUCUGCUGGUUAACAAGAAGGACAUAUUUGCAAGACAGGAAGCCAUAGGUCAGUAAAUUGAGGUAUGGAAAUUGCUAACCUCUGUCUUUAUGAGGACAUAUAUUCUCUGAAACUGUGGACUGAUUCCUAGCAGGGAACCUGUCGAUAUUUUUAGGCUGGUUUAGCUGUAAUAGACCACAUAUGUUUUA